rnacentral:rRNA from 1 species
GAUGAACGCUGGCGGCGUGCUUAAUACAUGCAAGUCGAGCGAAGCACUUUAACGGAAUUCUUCGGAAGGAAGGUAAAGUGACUGAGCGGCGGACAGGUGAGUAACGCGUGAGGAACCUGCCUCGGAGUGGGGAAUAACAGCCCGAAAGGGUUGCUAAUACCGCAUGAUGCAGUUGUGUCGCAUGACACUGACUGCCAAAGAUUUAUCGCUCUGAGAUGGCCUCGCGUCUGAUUAGCUAGUUGGCGGGGUAACGGCCCACCAAGGCGACGAUCAGUAGCCGGACUGAGAGGUUGACCGGUCACAUUGGGACUGAGACACGGCCCAG